GACAGAGGCGCCGAGCGUUAGGCGGAAUCACUGGGCUUAAAGCGUGUGUAGGCGGAUCUGUAAGUACCUUGUGAAAUCCCACGGCUCAACCGUGGAACUGCUUGGUAUACUGCGGGUCUUGAGCCACCUAGGGGCAAGUGGAACAAACGGUGGAGCGGUGAAAUGCGUAGAUAUCGUGUGGACCGCCAAUGGUGAAAACAGCUUGCUGGGAGUGUGCUGACGCUGAGACACGAAAGCCAGGGGAGCAAACGGG
rnacentral:rRNA from 1 species